UUUUUUAAUUAUGUUGUAUUUUAGGUUUC
rnacentral:piRNA from 1 species